GCUGAGGUUCUUCUCAUAGGUAAUCAACGUCAAACCCUUCAGCAAUUAAUGGUGACUAUAAAGUAUACUCAAAUUGCUGAGAUUUUAGGAGCUGUAAAACCAUUUGAGAGUUGGCUCUUGAUAACAAUCAUGAACCAUUUUAUGUGUUGUAAUGUGGAGAGCAGAAUAUUGAAUAGCUUCAUCAUGAUGCAGAAACAGGGAAAGUGUGAUUUCUUACCGAGGGAUAAUCAUAUUCACUCUUUAAAUCUAUAGACCAAGUUUUCUAAUGUCACAUAUUAGUCGAAGAGAGUCUGAAGUUGCAAUGCAACCAAGGAAAUAAAAAUUAAGCGGAGGGUUAUUGCCUUGCCUUUUCCUACUGUUGGCAAGAUCUGCCAAAUCACACUCAUAACCAAAUCUCCUAUU